AGUGAACGCUGGCGGUAGGCCUAACACAUGCAAGUCGAACGGCAGCACAGUAAGAGCUUGCUCUUACGGGUGGCGAGUGGCGGACGGGUGAGGAAUACAUCGGAAUCUACUUUUUCGUGGGGGUAACGGUGGGGAACCUUAGGUAAAUCCGGCUUCGAACCUCCGGGUAAAGGAGGGGGGUCUUGGAACUUUGGGGGAUGAAGUAGCCGGUGUCGGAUUAGUUAGUUGGGGGGGUAAAGGCCCACCAAGGGGACGAUCCGUAGCUGGUCUGAGAGGAUGAUCAGCCACACUGGAACUGAGACACGGUCCAGACUCCUACGGGAGGCAGCAGUGGGGAAUAUUGGACAAUGGGCGCAAGCCUGAUCCAGCCAUACCGCGUGGGUGAAGAAGGCCUUCGGGUUGUAAAGCCCUUUUGUUGGGAAAGAAAAGCAGCAGGUUAAUACCCCGCUGUUCUGACGGUACCCAAAGAAUAAGCAUCGGCUAACUUCGUG
rnacentral:rRNA from 1 species